rnacentral:rRNA from 1 species
GACGAACGCUGGCGGCGUGCCUAAUACAUGCAAGUCGAGCGGACAGAUGGGAGCUUGCUCCCUGAAGUCAGCGGCGGACGGGUGAGUAACACGUGGGCAACCUGCCUGUAAGACUGGGAUAACUUCGGGAAACCGGAGCUAAUACCAGAUACGUUCUUUUCUCGCAUGAGAGAAGAUGGAAAGAUGGUUUCGGCUAUCACUUACAGAUGGGCCCGCGGCGCAUUAGCUAGUUGGUGAGGUAAUGGCUCACCAAGGCGACGAUGCGUAGCCGACCUGAGAGGGUGAUCGGCCACACUGGGACUGAGACACGGCCCAGACUCCUACGGGAGGCAGCAGUAGGGAAUCUUCCGCAAUGGACGAAAGUCUGACGGAGCAACGCCGCGUGAACGAUGAAGGCCUUCGGGUCGUAAAGUUCUGUUGUUAGGGAAGAACAAGUACCAGAGUAACUGCUGGUACCUUGACGGUACCUAACCAGAAAGCCACGGCUAACUACGUGCCAGCCGCCGCUGUAACAC